rnacentral:rRNA from 1 species
UACGAAGGGGGCUAGCGUUGCUCGGAAUUACUGGGCGUAAAGCGCACAUAGGCGGCUUUCUAAGUCGGGGGUGAAAUCCUGGAGCUCAACUCCAGAACUGCCUUCGAUACUGGAGAGCUUGAGUCCGGGAGAGGUGAGUGGAACUGCGAGUGUAGAGGUGAAAUUCGUAGAUAUUCGCAAGAACACCAGUGGCGAAGGCGGCUCACUGGCCCGGUACUGACGCUGAGACGCGAAGGCGUGGGGAGCGAACGGG